AGUAAUACACCGUGGUAUGUGUGAGUCAAGAUUUUACUUGGUGAUCUGAGGGAGCAAUUUGAAUUAUUGCAGACUGGUUUCCUCCCAUAUACCUCCAUUGGUACCUAUUUCCUACCAACAACAACAACAUACCCGGUGUAUUCCCACAUAGUGGGUUUGGAAAGGGUAAAGUGUACGCAGUUCAUACCACUAUCUGUAGAAGUAGAGAGGCUGUUUUCGAUAAACCCCUUUCCAAUCAUCGAAGAAAAUAGAGAAGAACUGCUAAUCCAACCCAUAUCGUAAAUGAAUGUCCUACUUGAUCCAUUUCAAAUCCAGCCCGAGGUCUUUGAUCCUUGUUACGGACUAUCCAUAAAUUCUGGCGGAUCACCAAAAAUCUCCGAUAGCUUGGUUGUCAUAGCUCUUGUCGAAUCACCAAGAUUUUAGUACAGAUUAUGUUUUAAUUUCCCAAC
rnacentral:lncRNA from 1 species